ACGAAAUUAUAUGAGUGAGGCAGGGUUUUGUUCACUGAGUUAAAACAUGAUUGAAACAUGAUUUAUUUAUUAACAACCCGUGAAGUCUUAAAAUAAAGACGCGAGGUAGUUUAGGUACGAUGAACAAAUUACGUAGACAUAAAAUGAAUCUUGAAGUAUUGUUCAUCCUACAUGAGUUCAGCGUUCUCUUGUAUGGCCCUUAUACUGUGUCUCUCCUUAGACAAGAUACGAUAGACGGUACCAGUAAAUACUUCAAGAUUAGUAGGAUAUUAUCGAAACCGAGAAUGUUUUAGAAAAAACGUCCACUACCAUACGAACAGGGUCUCGUUGUGACAUUCUCACAAUGGCAGUGGAAAACACGAAGAUAACCACUUGUCUUGUCCUCUUGGUAUAUGAUGUUAACGAUGGUGUUUAACCUUUGACGUUUUUUUCUAAUUGUUUCUCGGGAUUUCGAACUACGAGUCGAGUUCACUCGUUUCAGAGUCGAGAAACUCCUCCCUUCUUUCUCUCUCCUCUUAUCUAACAUUAACGUUGAGCCUUCUAUAGUGUGAAUUUACGGUAAAGAAAACCAGCUGAACCUCCUGCCUCAACCUCCAUGACUGAGGCUAUGACUACCUUCGAAAAGGAGACUGCCUGGUAAGGUCGUCUACAGGAACUCUCUUCCGGCAUCCGGGAAGAACGUCUUGGCAAGCAUGAGGUUACACAGAGGACGGCUGAAGAAGUGGAGUUGUUGUAUCUUCCUACCUCAGUGAAGUUUCUAGAGGCGUAGUUAGCGUUCGACGGGGAAGGAGGGAAGAAACCUAGGGACGUCGCAGUGGUCAGGCAGGACGAAGAAGUGGAACUUCCUGAGACAGAGUCGAUAGACGAGGUCGAAACUGUGAUAACGACUACGCCCAAAAACCCAGUACUUGGCGCUCAAGCUGAAGACGAGAACCAGGAAGAGUUUAUCCGGUCUUUCUAGUUUUGGAAACCUCUCCCUCUAAUACAGUUUGCGUAAGUUCGAGCGACCGAAGUUACCCGAUAAACCAACAAGACGGGACAACGGAAAUGGUAGGAAAACCAGGCACGACUUUCGUCGGACCUGUAGUAAUUCUAGGAAACUCCGUGCACCGCAACGGUCUCAGUGACGACCAAACAUGGGAAAGAACUUGGUGCCCACGAGUUAGUCGAACAGGUACCACUAGGAUCACAAACCUAAUCCCAGCUCGUCGGACCUAUCUUAGAAGGCCCGUAGUCUUGACUUGGUGACACCUACGGACUGUAGUGGAAACGACUAGAAGGCCAUGUAGAGGUAGUUUAAACUCAGAACCUUACCCUCCAUUGGUCGUUCGUCUUGUUUUUCAUACUGUGGUGUUCUGGUAUACAGACGGAAAAGAGGUAGUAUCGGGAAGAACAACUAAUAGAGGCCGCGUUGUAUACGUCCACACGGUGUGCAACACACGUCGUCGGGCAGAACGAAGACUGUGAGGAACUCCCGUGAGUUGGGCUUCAGCCUGUGGAACUCCAAAGGUACGAGUAGGUGUUCCUCCAAGAGGCCGAACUCCAGGGCCACUAUCUGUAGUGCCGACACCGUUUUCAGGUGUCGGGGAUAGUUGACAACUUUCAUGAAGGAACGUCGUAGAAGGAACUCGGCCGGGAACCGGUGGGACCGUUUCUCGAGCGGCGGGGCCUGUAUGAGGUACCGUUUCAUAUAGAACCAGAACGACCGGUACUGGAGCACGUCGACCUGCUACAAACCCACCGCUUGGUCCGCGUACUACCUCUAGAGGGCGAACUAGACCAGUUAGUACGGCUGUGCGUCGUGGAAGAGGAACAGUUACUGGAACUACCGCUGCGAGACCAACCAGCGUUCCGAGGCGCGUACCAUGUGGAACCGCUUCCACGGAACGGGCUCGUAUGCUGGUUCGAGCAUGGCCAAGUACUCUUACCGCCUGAAGGAGAGGUAGGAUAGCCUAGGAACACGUGUUCUCGUCGUCGUUCGACCCACCUCCAUUUUAACCCACAAGUGUUCGCAGAUGAGACGCGGUGAAGCACGGAGACACAGGGAGGGAGGGGCUCUCCCUCCUCUCCACUUCCCGCUCUCGCGCGACACUAACCCCCCUUUUGAUUAUGUGCUGACCAGACAAAAGAGUCUUAGGAGGUUCCUACUUCCUCUCCUACCACCCUCUCUUCUUAUCAGACGCCACCGAUCUCGAAAGGAGCGCUGUACUCCGGUCCUCGAGCGGGAAGGGAGAGACCUCGACCUUGUCCGGCGGAUUAUUAUUCGGCCCG
rnacentral:rRNA from 1 species